rfam:Ipomoea nil DNA, scaffold: scaffold2284, cultivar: Tokyo-kokei standard.
GCCUUCUUAGCUUAGUGGUUAGAGCGCGUGGCUUUUAACCACGUGGUCGUGGCUUCAAUCCCCACAGACGGUG